UUCAUCACUUUGAUCAAAAUAUUGGACAAGAACAACUUAAAGGGUGAGAACUUUAGUUUGAUUUCAGAGGUUUUGUCCAUGGUCAGCUGACUCCAUUAUUCUGAUCCUGAGGUGUGGCAGAACAUUAUGGCAGAAGGUGAUGAUAUAAUAAAACUGUCAGCUUAUGGCAGCCAGCAAGCAAAAAGAGCACCAUGAUCCAGGGACAAGAUAUAGAAUGCUCAAAAGCACACCUCCAGUAACCUACUUCCUCUAGUCAUGCCCUACCUCCCACAGUUACCACCUAAUAAUCUAUUCAAAUUACUAAUCCAUCAGAUGGAUUAAUCUACUGAUUUGGUUACAGCUCUCAUGAUCUGUCCAUUUCACCUCCAAACAUUCCUGCAUUGUCUAAUAUUAAUUUUUUGUGGGGACACCUCAUAUUCAAAUCUACACAUAUGCUGAGCUGCAGUCUGGACACCUAUAUUUACAGAGUUCCUUUUUUUGCAAAAAGAGGACAAAUAGGGGCACUUAUAGGCAAUGUAAGCCAGUAUUGUAGUUUGGAUCUGGAAUGUCCCCCAAAGGCUCAUGUGUGGAAGGCUUGGUCCCCAAUGUAACAAUGUUCAGAGGUGGUGCUUUGGAGAAGUUAUUGGAUCAUGAAGGUUUUAAGUUUAUAAGCUAAUUAAUUUACUGAUGUAUUCAUAGCUGAAUGAACUACUGGGAAGUGUUAGAAACUGUAGAAGGUAGAACUUAGUCCCAUAAUGUUCUGCCUCACCUCAGACCCAAAGCAAUGAAGUCAGCCAACCUUGGACUAAAAACCUCUGAAACCAUGAACUAAAAUAAAUGCUUCCUCCAUAAGUUGUUUUUCCUCAGGUAUUUUUUCACAGCAACAAAAAAAAAAAUUGACCAACCCAACCAGGAAGAUGGGCUAUAAUGUAACUAUUGUAGGUAAUUGUGACCCACAGGCCCAAAAGAAAUCCACAUACACUCCAAUCCUGGCCUCCACUGUAACUGCUGCUCCUCCAAUUACUUUGGUUACCCUUGGCCAUGAGAAGAUCCCUCAUUCUGGCCUUGCCAGUGCAACAAUAAUAUUAAUUCCCAUGAUCCUGCUGCCUAUGAUUUUCUCAGUGGGCACUGCCAGUGCUGUUUGUACCAUAGCUAUGGCCUGUAUAUACUAACUGCAGAACUGGCUUCCACAGCAGUGCUCUGUGUCCAGGCAACUGCUGGCUUUAAUGCGUGUGUGGAGUGGAUGAAGAUAUUUCCAAAAGACUGGGUAUGGUUUUCCCUCUGCCACUCCUGCCAAGCCUUUCCUCUCCCCAGGGUGUACCUUUGGUCCACCAGGGCACUGUUCCCAUGUGGUUCCCUUCUCACCUGAAGCCUGCUUCUGCAAUCAGAUUAGUGGACAGUACACCUGCACUUGGGCAGACUGCAGCCAAUGCACCCCUCUGUUCUGGACCUUGGAGACUUCUGGGACUAUAAGACUUGUAGCUGUCAUGCCCAACACAGCCAAUGUAUCACAGUUAGUAAGUCUUUGUUCUACUGUGGCAUUAGACAGGUGUGAGCAAACAUGUGCCUUCCUAUGACUGCAUGUGACUUGUAUCUGGUGAGUGUCUAUGUGACCACCAAUACUGGUGUAUGUGGCUGAAAAUAGCUGCAUAACACUAACUAGUUGUAGAGCCCUUGGGGAAGUGUGGACAUGGAACUGCAUUAACCUGACCCCACGUGCAGCCAUGUAUCAAUGUGUGAGCAAACUAUUGUAAGUGGGUCAUGGCAAGCAGUGAGUAAGAUAGGUCAGGGGUUGUGGGAGCUAGGAAGGAGCCAGGGAGGCACAGGAAGAAGAUUAAAAUUGGCAUAGGCAUAGGCAGUGCAGGAUGGCCUUGGGAAAUAAGUGUUUCCAAGAAAAGAGUGGUGAGUGAACGGGAUGAGUCCUUGUAUUUGUCCGCUUUUCAUUGCUAUUACCAAAAUACCUGACCAAAACAACUUAGAGAAGGAAAAGUUUAUUUUGGCUCAUAGUUUCUGAGGUUCGGUCCAUGAUGGGUCAACUUCAUUGUUCUGGGUCCGCAGAAUAUCAUUGUGGAAGGGUGUGAUAGAAGUGUGUUGCUCCAUUCAUGGCAGCUAGGAAGCAGAGAGAACAGGAGAAGGGGCUACAGGGAAGAUGAACCCUUCCUGAAUCAUGUUCUUGCAUCCAUGGUGAAGUGAAAGUUAGACUCAGGAGGUGAGGGAGAUAUGGGAGUGAGGGCAUAGAGACUCAGUGGGUAUGCAGAUCAGGACAUGGAGGAUUAAAGCACAAUAGAUUAGAAGAUGAAAACUCAGUGGGCCCAUGCAAGACAAGAACUGGUGAUGUUGGAAAGUGGAAACUGGUCAACGGGGCACACCAGAGAAGGCAGGAGGGGAGAAACCCUCAGCCAAAUGCAACAGUGAGUGAUGCCUGGGGCAAGAGCAGGGCUAAGAGAAGACUUGGGUGUGCAUGUGUGUAUGCUCUAGCUGAGCAUUUGUGUUUUUUCUCUUCUGAAGAAGGCUCUUUACUUCUUCUGUUUGGUCUAUACUCUCUUUUCUCAGGUCAUAAGCCAAUACUUGUGAAGAGCAGGAUAUGUGGGUAACAUGUACUACCAGUGUCAGGAUGGAUAUUGGGUUGACCAAGAGCAGGAGUGCCGAAGCAAGAAGGGUAUUCAUACAGUCCAUCAAGAAGGAUGAGGCUGGGGCUGGGGUUGUGGCUCAGAGCUAGAGUGCUUGCCUAGCAUGUGCGAGGCCCUGGGUUUGAUCCUCAGCACCACAUAUAAAUAAAUAAAGAAAUAAAAUAAAAGUACUAAAAAAAGAAGGAUGAGGCUGCCCUCCAGGGCUACCUAAUGGGGAGUAGCAAGGGUGAAGUUGGGAUUUCCUUGAGGAAGAACAUAACACAUUUAUUGCUCUUCCCUAUUAAAAACUUAGAGACACUAGCAAAAACAUUUCUUAAAAAAAAAGUGGCAAGACUAGGCAGAGGAUCCCACAUAAAGGACCCUCUUAGGUAGCUCUUUCCUGACCCUGAUUGAUCCCUGACUGGGUUGUAGAGCCCUUGGAGUCUUGUGCUGUUUUCUGGCUCAAAGGCUGCUGUGCAUGCUUUUGGUAUAGCUCAGUGGCAGAGCACUUUCCUGGCAUGUGCAAGACCCUGGGUUCCAUCACCAGCAUAGCAAAACAAAUUACAAAGUCUGCUAUGCAAUAUGGCCUCUCUGGUCAGAUAGAAGCCAGCCAGUGCCCAUGGAAGUUCUCAGCAGGUGAGGACUGAUGUGCAUUCUUACACUUGCAAGUCAUUCUUAAAGGUGAGGCUAGAAUUAGUGUGAUCAGGGUUCUCGAAAGUAAAGCCUUCUGCUCUUGUCUGUGAGCCUCUCUCUCCCCUGCAGUCUGUACCUAUGACCCAUAGGGUUCCAUCUCACACGGUUGUGAACCACACAUGGGUGCCUGACUAAGCAGAGAGGGUAUCUCAGCGUUGAGGUGCCAGUUUUGUGCCUGUGGUUCCAGAUGUUCCUUCUCACAUUGCAGGUUCUGUCCUAUCUGCUUCACUUCCUGGGACUAAACACUUGGCUCUAUUCCAGCUGUAGGUGGCAGCUGUGUCCUAAGAGGUGGCUGUUCUAUGCCAGGGGAUUCUUGGCUGUGGUGAUGGGGCCAGGAUGGACAGGCUAUGGAUGGGGUACUGCAGCAGGUACAGGCACUCCUAGAGUCUCCUUCACUCCCUAUGGGGACCCUGCAGCAACUUAAAGAGUAGAUAGCUGGACACAGUUAAGGGGUCUGGGAUUAGGAGUGAGGGAAGUCUCCAGCCAGCUUCUCAGAGUCAGGGAUACAGAGGGUCACAGGUUGGUCUAUUUAGUCAUUGUUAUGGGAGUCAUAUGUUUUUUCUUGAGUAAGGAAAUCAUGGAUCAGAGAUCAUGAAUCAUGGAUCAGAGAGCACCACUGGUCAAACUAAUGCCACUUUCCUCACAGAAGGAAAAUGACUAUAUUGACCUAGACACUGUGGGCCACAGAAUAGUUUGUAGCCAAAAGAAAGUCACGGGUCAGGAGACAGCAGGAAUGCAUGGAAGUAUUUAUCCUGGGAACUAGAUCAUGUCAAGGGCUUGACCUUGCCCCAAGGGGCCACAGGAACCCAAGGUAGGCUAGGUGGGUGGUUGGUGAGGGGGGCUAUGCUGUGACGGGAGAAAGGGACCAGUUAUUCUGUGUAUUUGGAGUAUACAGAAGGUGGAUUGCUCCUAUCUCAUGGAACGGAGCUUUGAUUAUUCUUCUAUCCACCCUUCCCAUCCUUUUUACAUGCUGAAGCCCAGACCUCUUCCCAGGAGAUAAUGCUCAGAGUCCAGGUCACAGCUGCACUUAGAACUAUCAGAUAACAUCCUGAGGCAGGUCUGUAUGCCUAGCAGUAGAUGGAGAAGAUUCUCUGGGGAACAGGGUGGCUCACAAGGACAGUUAGUUAUAUGGGGGUUGAAAAUUAAGGAGUUGGCUGAUAGGGGCCAGAUGCCACACUCACAGAUCACAGUCAGACCUGGAAUGGUGGGUGGAGAUAUGGAUUACUGUAAAAGAUGUUGCCUAGUGAGAACUUUCUCGAGGAUAUACUGGGUAUAAGGCAACAGGAAAUCUGGGGAAUGCAUUCCCAUUUUAUUUGCAGGAAUAGAAGCAUCAGGAACUUUAGCUGGUCUGUUUUCUUGUACCCUGUGGUAUGAAAACCCCUUGCCUUGGGACUUUGCUCACUGCCCUGUGGGCUCUGAUUGCUUUCUACAACUUUUCAUAUAGCCUGAACUUAACAGUCACAACCUUGGAGCAGCAUUAGCAGUGGGUACAGAGCCAUGGGGACUAUGGAAGGGAGCUGUGGGGGGAGCCACAGGAGACCAUCACUCAGACAUGAGAUUGUAGGAGACACAAUUUACAUAUUACCCUGUCUCCUACCAGCUACAACAAAUCCAGGCCACAGCAAGGAAUCCAGGCACAGGAAACCUGACAUUGUUCAAGGGGACUGUGAGGCAUGGCUGCCAUGGCUCCUAUGCAAACAACUGUUGAGAUCAUCCAGUGCUUCCUCAUGUAUUUAUGUCUAUUUGUUACAUGUCUGUUCACAGCUGGUAGGGGCAGAUAGCCAUCCAGGAUAUUGACAUGAAACUCCUACCAGAAUGAGGAGUAUUGUAGGACUGACCAGGGAUCAGUGGGGGGCACCAGUGUGCUGCGAAAUGUUUGACAACUGGCUGGGAAUCAGGGGGACUGAUUUGUGGACUUUAUUAAUUUCCAUGGUGUAAGUAAUCCUACUAUGACUGAUUUCAGUCUAUAUACCAUUUAACAACUAAUUUGCAAAAUUCUGAAAAUUUCACAAUUGUUUUUUGUAAGCUUCUUAUGUAUACCAUUGGGUAGUUGUUGUGAGGUAGAGGCAAUGAGAGGUUAGGGUCAGAACUCAUUGGGUGAGGUAUCAGAAUUCAGGUUCAAAAUCUCUACUCCUUUCCCAAUGGAUGAAGGUGCAGCUGUUACAAGUGUAGCACUGGUGUCAUGGUGUGGGCUAGCUGUGUCCCUCCUGCAGGGUGAGGCUGUAGGCAUUGCCUCCCUCCUGGAUCAGAUCCAGAGUGUUUUCCUUGCACCAGAUGCUGUGGGCCUGGAUCUUCCCAGAGCUGAAGACAUCCUUCAUAAUGCACAGCAGACCAGGUGAAGGGUCAGGAGACUGGAGGUAGAGCUCAGAGGGUGGGCAGAAAAGGGAGUCAAAUGGAACAUCUUGUGCUCUUCAGGGAAGGUAAAGUCAGGGCCCAAUGGUUGGAUGUUCAGAGGGUUCUGGCUGAGGAGGGAAUUCAUGCAGAGCAAGGGCUGUGGGUGGCAAGGUUGGCACUUCAAAGCCUGGAGGCCAGUGUACCGAAGGUGAUAACCCAUUUGUCCCCUUCAUCUCCCUUGUAUCCAUGUUCAGUGACUGCUGUGAUCCUCAUUCUCUGCUGACAAUGCGAAUAUUCAAUCUAGUUCCUACCUUAAUCUGACCUUUCUAUGACUCCCAAUAUUUGUCCCUCUCUCCCCCUUAUAGGAGGGUUCCUGGCCCAGAUGGCACUGACAGUUGAUAUCACUCCAGUUCUGGAGUAUCUGUCCAGUGGAGCUUAGGCCCUCAGGACAUGUUUUUCCCUGAGUCAGUGACAGGUCCCAGAGGCAGAAGAACAGGCAUCAUGGACCAUGGGCAUGAUUGGGGUCCUGGCAAGGUGAGAUUCAAAACAGUGGGAAUUAGGGGCUUGGGAACCCCUCUGGAACAGUGGGAAGUAGAGUUUAGGCUAGAGAUUGGCUACACUGUGCUGAAGUAAGAUCUCAGUUCUUAAGUCCCUGCCCCUCAAGAACUUAGGCAGUGACAAAUGGGUCUUUAGGACGUGGGUAGAGUGGGGGUUCAGGUUCAGAUCUGUUCUAGGAAUUAACUGUAGAUGGUCCAGGUGGCUGUGACAGAGCUGCAGAAGAGCAUAGAGAUCAAAGUCUGGUUCAGAUGACCUGAUUCUCAGGGUUAGAGUGCCUCCUGGCACAGAAUGAGCAGGCACUGGGCAAGAAAGCAGCUGCCUUGCAGGCCCUGGAGCAGCAGGCAGCACAGCUGCUUGAGCACAUGUGGCUGGGUGCCAUGCUUAUGUCACCUGCCGACUGCUGCCAUCUAUGGAUGCCAGCAAAGGCUCUGGGACCACCUGGGUGACUCAAUGAGACUCCAUAACGACCCAGGAAUCCCUUGAGAUUGAGAAAACAGAGAUCCCACUGAGUAUGCACUGACCCUGAGUGACCUCUGUAUGACCCCUUGAUUCCCAGUUUUGGUCAUCUGACCUUGAAAGAACAGAGAGAUCCUGUAACUCCUUGAGGCCAUCUAGUGCCCCUAAGCCUAAAGACCUUUAUCUCCAAGUGAUCUAAACUUUUUCUUUUUUCAGUUGUGCUGGGGAUUGAAACCAGGAACACACUACUACUGGGUUAUAGCAUCAGCCCUUUUUAUUUUUUUUUUUUAAUUUUUAAUUUAUUUUUAUUUUUCGAUAUGGGGAUUGAACUCAGGGACAUUCAACCACUGAGCCACAUCCCCAGCCCUAUUUUGUAUUUAUUUAGGGUCUCACUGAGUUGCUUAAGCAACUUGCCACUGCUGAGGCUGGAUUUGAACUCCUGAUCCUCCUGCCUAAGCCUCUCCAGCUGCUAGGAUUACAGGCUGCGCCACCACGCCCAGCCCUUUUUAUUUUUUAUUUUGAUACAGAUCUCACUAAAUUGCUGAAGCUGGCCUAGAAUUUGCAAUCCUUCUGCUUCAGCUCCUUGUGGGUCACUGCGUCAGUGAUCUAAACUUGUAGUAUCUGAGACCCCUUAGGUUAAUCACAUGACGUAGGUUAAUCACGUAACAGUCAGUUUAAGGUGACUGGAGAUUCUAUUCUGCUGAUACCAGAAGUCCAGUAGAUUGCCUGCCCCACCCCCACGCUCCUUUGUGAAGUUGAGUGGGUCGCAGAGGAACUUCCAGGUUUACCUCUGCCAGGGGCUGGCAGUUUCGGGCAGUCCUUGCCUUGUCCCAGACAAUGCGUUAGAUCUGUGGCGGCUCAAAGUAAGCCUGACUCACCCCGAAGACCCUCAGACUACAUGGCCAGCACCCCUGCAACCCUCAUCCCAGACCCGCCCCCGCCGUGGUCCCAGGGGCCUGGGUGGGGCGCGCGCCUGCCGGUCGCGCGCAUUCCAACCCCAAGGUCCAGAGGGCUGGAAAGCCCGGAGCGGAUUAACAGCCAAAAAGAAAAUCCGGAUUUAUUAUUGGCUUUUCACUCUAGAGUCCGUCACCCUGUGCCCAUUUUCAUACUGGGAAACCAAAGCAGCACUUCUGCCUACAUGCCACAAUGACUAGAGGCAGCAGAGCUACCGGGAGCUGUGUUUAAGGCAGGGUGUGGCCUUCCCCAUUUCUCCUCCAGCCCCUGUCCUGUUCAGAUCAGGCUGUCCUAAAGCUCCCCACAGCCCUGAAUUUGGUGCCUUUUUUGCACCCUUCUGUCUCACCACUGAUGCUGGAACCCUGGGAUCAAACAUCUGAGUGAUUUCCAUGCUGAUGCCAAUAACAAGGACUACAGGCUGCUUGGCCCUUUAUUUCAGAUCAGAAACCUCUCAUUUGCUUCUACCAUUCCUCAACACCCUGCACACUCUUUCUGUGGUGGCCUAAAGCACCAAACCCCCCACCUUCCCUUGGCCCUUGCAUAGAUUUGGCCUUAGGGGCACAAUAAAGAUCUGUGGAAUCUGAUCAUCUGAUUCCUGCGG
rnacentral:lncRNA from 1 species